rnacentral:lncRNA from 1 species
AGCAGAGGAGGAAGUUCCAUAGUUAAGGAAAUCAUGUUUCCUGGUAGCAGUGCUUCACUUAUGCUUCAUCUAAUAUAAUCCACACAGUUUGUUUCUUAGUGCUUUGAUGUAUUUUAGAUAACUUUAAACUUACAUUUAGUUAAUGUUCUGGAACUUAUGCAGGGGCGGCCCAAUACAUUUGGAGGCCUAAGGCGGAUUCAGUGAAUGAGGCCUUUUUUUUAAAAAAUAAUUUUUUUUAAUAAGUAUAAAAUACUUAGAAAAAAGAUAUGAAAAUAGAUAGCCAUCAAGUACAUUAUUUCAACAAAAAUGCAUGUAUGCAAGAUAAAAAGUUUUUUUCAGUUUAAUAUAAUUUUUGAAUGAAAGCACGGAAAAGUAAAUAUGCUUAAGGAAGGGCUCAUAAAACUGAUUAAAUAACUGAGAUAAUGCUUCGCAAUACUGUUUACCAUGUCAAGCAAGAGCAGAGUAGGAAAAGGUUAUCCCAUGG